rnacentral:rRNA from 1 species
CCUACGGGUGGCAGCAGUGGGGGAUAUUGCACAAUGGGGGAAACCCUGAUGCAGCGACGCCGCGUGGGCGAAGAAGUAUUUCGGUAUGUAAAGCCCUAUCAGCAGGGAAGAAGAAAUGACGGUACCUGAGUAAGAAGCACCGGCUAAAUACGUGCCAGCAGCCGCGGUAAUACGUAGGGUGCAAGCGUUAUUCGGAUUUACUGGGUGUACAGGGAGCGUAGGCGGGACGGCAAGCCUGAUGUGAAAGCCCGGGGCCCAACCGGGGGACUGCAUUUGGAACUGCCAGGCUGGAGUGCCGGAGAGGUAGGCGGAAUUCCUGGUGUAGCGGUGAAAUGCGUAGAUAUUAGGAGGAACACCAGUGGCGAAGGCGGCCUGCUGGACGGUGACUGACGCUGAGGCUCGAAGGCGUGGGGAGCAAACAGGAUUAGAUACCCGAGUAGUC